GGUCCUUUGGCGCAAUGGUAGCGCGGUAAGGACCCCUUUCUUCUCUUCAUAUAUAUCCAAGUCAAAAUUCUAAUAUGAUAAUAGUUACUUUCCGGUGGUAAAGGUUCACGGUUCGAGUCCGUGGAGGAUCG